GGGAAUACCUGGCAUUCCAAACCCUUAGAUAAAGUAAUUAACCCCUGAGCCUGGACUUCACCCGGACUUCACCCUCAGCCAGAUCUGUCUGUCAGAUACCUUCUGUUGCCCUGUGUGAAUCUUGUCUGAGAGUUUCCCAUGGAUACAAAGCCUCUGCAAACCCUGGUUAGGAAAAACCGAAAAUACCGUGGCACCUCAUAAAUCAGUGUUCUGCCUGCAUGUGUGCCUGCAAACUAGAAGAGGGCACUGGAU